CCUCAGCCUCCGAAAGUGCUGGGAUUACAGGCGUGAACCACCAUAGCUGGCUAGGCAUGGUGGCAUGUAUGUGUAGUCCCAGGGAGCUCGAGGAUCACUUAAACCCAGGAAGUAGAGGCUGCAGGGAGCCAUGUUCGUGCCCCUGCACUCCAGUGUGGGCAACAGAGUAAAACUCUGUCUCAAAAAAAAAAAAAAAAAAAAAGAAGGAGACUGCGUCCGCCCCGCAAGCACAAAGCCUCUCCGUCACCACUCCGCUGCUUGUCCACACCCGCAGCCAGCUCACCAUGGAUGAUGAUAUCGCUGAGCUUGUUGUUGACAACGGCUCUGGCAUGUGCAAGGCCAGCUUCACAAGCGAGGAUGUCCCCUGGGCCGUCUUCGCCUCCAUCGUGGAGUGCACCAGGCACCAGGGCGUGAUGGUGGGCAUGGGUCAGAAGGACUCCUAUGUGGGCAACGAGGCCCAGAGCAAGAGAGGCAUCCUCACCCUGAAGUACCCCAUCGAGCACGGCAUCGUCACCAACUGGGAUGACAUGGAGAAGAUCUGGCACUACACCUUCUACAACGAGCUACGUGUGGCUCCCAAGGAGCACCCUGUGCUGCUGACCGAGGCCCUCCUGAACCUCAAGGCCAACCGUGAGAAGAUGACCCAGAUCAUGUUUGAGACCUUCAGCACCCCAGCCAUGUAUGUGGCCAUCCAGGCCGUGCCGUCCCUGCACGCCUCUGUCCGUACCACUGGCAUUGUGAUGGACUCUGGCGGGGUCACCCACACUGUGCCCAUGUACAAGGGGUAUGCCCUCCCACAUGCCAUCCUGCCUCUGGACCUGGCUGGCCGGGACCUGACUGACUACCUCGUGAAGAUCCUCACUGAGCACAGCUACGGCUUCACACCACAGCUGAGCGGGAAAUCGUGCGUGACAUCAAGAGGAAGCUGUGCUACGUUGCCCUGGAUUUCAAGCAGGAGAUGGCCAUGGCGGCCUCCAGUUCCUCCCUGGAGAAGAGCUACGAGCUGCCCGAUGGCCAGGUCAUCGCCAUUGGCAACAAGCGGUUCCACUGCCCCAAAGCGCUCUUCCAGCCUUCCUUCCUGGGCAUAGAAUCCUGUGGCAUCCACGAAACUACCUUCAACUCCAUCAAGAAGUGUGACGUGGACAUCCGCAAAGAUCUGUACACCAACACAGUGCUGUCUGGCAGCACCACCAUGUACCCUGGCAUCACCAACAGGAUACAGAAGAAGAUCACCGCCCUAGCGCUCAGCACAGUGAAGAUCAAGAUCAUUGCUCCUCCUGAGUGCAAGUACUCCGUGUGGCUCAGCAGCUCCAUCCUGGCCUCGCUAUCUACCUUCCAGCAGACGUGGAUCAGCAAGCAGGAGUACGACGAGUCCGGCCCCUCCAUCGUCCACCACGAAUGCUUCUAGGUGGACUGUGACUUAGUCGCAUUACACCCUUUCUUGACAAAACCUAACACGCAGAAAACAAAAUAAGAUUGGCAUGGUUUUAUUUUUGUUGUUGUUUUGUUUUGGGCUUUUUUCUGGGCUUGACUCAGGAUUUAAAAACUGGAACGCUGAAGGUGACAGCAGUCGUUUGGUGCAAGCAUCCCCCAAAGCUCUACCAUGUGGCUAAGGACUUUGAUUGUACGUUGUUCUUUUUUUUAAUAGUCAUUCCAAAUAUCGUGAGAUGCAUUGUUACAGGAAGCCCCUUGUCCUCCUAAAAGCCACCCCACUUCUCUCUAAGGAGAAUGGCCCAGUCCUUUCCUGAGUCCACACAGGGGAGGUGAUAGCAUUGCUUUCAUGUAAAUUAUGUAAUGCAAAAUUUUUUAAAUCUUUGCCUUAGUAUUUUUUAUUUUGUUUUAUUUUGAAUGAUCAGCCUUCAUGCCCUACCUUUUUUGUCCCCUAACUUGAGAUGUAUGAAGGCUUUUGGUCUCCCUGGGAGUGGGUGGAGGCAGCCAGGGCUUACCUGUACACUGACUUGAGACCAAGUUGAAUAAAACUGCACACCUCAAACAAAAAAAAAAAGGCAGAGGCUCUGCCCUCAUGACCUAAUCAACCUGACCACCUCUCAGAGUCCCACCUCCUAAUAUCAUCACCUUGGUGACUAGAUUUCAACAUGAUUUUUGGAGGAACAUAUAUAUACAUUCAAAGCUGGCAAUCAUACACACAAGGCAUACGUGAAAUAUAAUAAGUACAAUUUAAAGAUAAAGCCAACAUUUGUGUAAUCAUUAUCCAGGCCAUGAAAUAAAAUAUAGCGAGUCUUA